ACCCAACCCCUCUGCUUUCGAGGCCUCCGACCACCAUCCCUCCAUGGCUCCCCGCCCAGUGCCUUCCAAGGUCACCCAUGGAUCUGUACCCACCGGCCACCACCAUCCAUGGCUCCUCCGGUAUUGGGACACGACGUCGUCCCAUCUCCGUUCUAGACAUCACCAUGUGACACCAACGCCUGGCCUGCUCCUCCACCACGGCCCAGCUCGGACCACGCCGCUAUCGAUGCCGCCAUUGAGAAUCCACCCCAACUCGAGCAGUUCACCGGCGUCAUGGAGGAAGCACCGAGCAGCCGCAUUGCAAAUAUGAGGAACAUCAUCAGUGCAAGAAGUCCAGAUUCACUCGACGGCGAGAAAUAGUCUCAUAUUUUUGUUCCAAAUAGUAUGUACCACUCCCCACUUUGAUACUUAUGAACACCCAUCUGAGAUCUCCUUUUCCUUGUUACAGUUCAUCCAGAUCAGUAGUACGAUUUAAGGUUCAUGAUCCAGCUAUAAGAGAGGUGUAAUAUCCUCUGCCCUUGACAUGGGCAAGCAUACAAUUGGUUGUUCCUGCUGGAGAAGGUUUUUGGGAAGAAUUAAACGAACACCAUCAGUGCAACAUAGAGGCAAAAGCAGGUGGUUGAGUUUGCAAUUCAUUCUUAUUAGGAGCAAAAUUCAAGAGUCGGGAUCUAUGAGAUAUGCAAGAGCCUCUAAUCAAGGGUAACCUUGAAGAGAGGCUUGCAACUUAAGCUGUAACCAAAGAUUAUAGAAAAUGAGGUCUCUUCUUAUGUACAUUUAGUUGAUGCACUUGUGUGUUUUUAGAUGUUGCACCUCUGUUUUCAUUGACCUUCAAUUCAUGUAU